CUUAUUCUGUGACUUAACGCACUGCGGAUGCACCGGGGACUAAACCCUUCUAUUCUCCGCAGCGUAACGGGGCCACGGAACGAGAGGCGGAGGGGCAUAACGGAGAGAUGUAAGAAGGCCAGAAAGAUGAGGAGAGAUGCAAGAAGAGAAGUUGUUCCUGGGGAAAGGCUGGCGUGUUAAUCGUCAUCAACCGGAAGGCGGGAACCCUCACCGUCGUCGGUGAUUAUUACCGAGAUCAGCGCCCUGGCCGCUAUGGAGCUUAUCGCGUCUUUCCAAAGCGAAGUAACUGCGACACCAAGUGGACUAAAAUCAAACCGUAAUGCCAAAUGGUUUCAGUUAAUGUUUUAUUACAAAUAAUGCAUUCUUUGCGCCAAAACGGGCGCAAGCGCCAAUGAUGUUUUCUAUGUCAAAAUCUAGAAUAAAAAGAUUUUAAAAUUUAA